GGAACCAGAAGGUCACUCAAUGUUCAAGAUCCAGACUGACAACUCAUGCCUGUAGAAGACAGUCUCUCAGGCUCUAUUAACAAAAUGCAGGAAACUAAGGCCAGAAGAGAGAAAUGUUGGGACAAGGUCAGGGGCCUGAUUAAAGCAGAUGCCAGAACCCAGACUUCUCUCUGCAGGUCCCCCUCACUAAACAGCUGCCACAGGACAAGCGCUCCCACGUGAGGGCCCGUCGGGUUAGGGUGGGAGGCACAGCGAGGGCAAUUCUGAAAGAACAUGUUGCUGGUGAGAAGUGGAGACAAAUAUUUGCCAAAUUUUGGACGAGGGCCUAGAAUCCAAGAGUCUGCCCCGGACGCGGUUUCUCGUAAUGUGGAUGUUGCAGGACUUUCCAGAAUCUUCUGAAAGGGCUUUUAAGGAAAGAGCAAGUAUAAAACAUGAAAAUAACCGCCCCCAGCUGCUCCUGGGGUCACUGUAUUCUGACUGCAGCUGUGGAGAAUUGUUGAAUUCCAUUCUCCAUGUUGCUCUAAAAGCAUUUCAAAGAGGUCCAGGGAAAGCCAGGCGCACUUUGGUAAAUUGAAAACUAUUUGUGACAAACCAUCCAUCACCGUCUCUCAACAUUCACCAUCAGAGAGAGGAUAUUUUAGAAGAAGAAGAAAGAAAGAAAGAUGAAGAAGCUGCAGACACUUCUGUUUGCCAUAUACCUGCUUCUCAAGACUGCCCAUUGAGAGCCAGAGCUUCCCCACGAAGGUGAGGAUGCUCCGGGUGUCCCCAGGAUCAUCCCCAGCAUCGGAAGUCACCUGCCGAGCAUCUAGCUGUGUGUGGUACCCUACGAGCAUCCUGAGAGAACAGACACAGCAAACAAAUGUCAAACGUGGGGUUCCUCUGGCUCCUCCCCAACCAGCUAAAUAUGAGGUAUCUCUGGAAAAGUCUCUUAGCUCCCCUAGAACGCAGUUUCUCAUUUCUGAAAAAUUAGUUAAGAUUUGUCCUGUGAGUCCUUUUACCUGCUUAACAGCACUACUCACUUUCCCUCCUCCCACCAAUCCAAGGAUGGGAUCUACACCCUCCUGCAAGCUAACGGCUGCUGUGCAGACAGUGGUGAUGGGUCAUCCAGUGGUUCUCCUCCCCUUAGCCUCAGGACCCUUUUACACUCUGAAAAUAGCCAAUGUCCCCAAAUAACUUAUAUUUAUAUAGGUUAUA